AAUAGACUACCCAGGUAGUCCCAGCUGUAAACGAUGCAGACUCGGUGAUGAAUUGGCUUAUUGCUAAUUCAGUGCCGCAGGGAAGCCGUUAAGUUUGCCGCCUGGGGAGUACGGUCGCAAGACUGAAACUUAAAGGAAUUGGCGGGGGGAGCACCACAAGGGGUGAAGCCUGCGGUUCAAUUGGAGUCAACGCCGGAAAUCUUACCGGGGGCGACAGCAGAGUGAAGGUCAAGCUGAAGACUUUACCAGACAAGCUGAGAGGAGGUGCAUGGCCGUCGCCAGCUCGUGCCGUGAGGUGUCCUGUUAAGUCAGGUAACGAGCGAGAUCCCUGCCUCUAGUUGCUACCAUUAUUCUCAGGAGUAGUGGAGCUAAUUAGAGGGACCGCCGUCGCUGAGACGGAGGAAGGUGGGGGCUACGGCAGGUCAGUAUGCCCCGAAACCCUCAGGCCACACGCGGGCUGCAAUGGUAAGGACAAUGAGUUUCGAUUCCGAAAGGAGGAGGCAAUCUCUAAACCUUACCACAGUUA
rnacentral:rRNA from 1 species